AGUGAACGCUGGCGGUAGGCCUAACACAUGCAAGUCGAACGGCAGCACAGUAAGAGCUUGCUCUUACGGGUGGCGAGUGGCGGACGAGUGAGGAAUACAUCGAAAUCUACUUUUUCGUGGGGGAUAACGUAGGGAAACUUACGCUAAUACCGCAUACGACCUACGGGUGAAAGCAGGGGAUCUUCGGACCUUGCGCGAUUGAAUGAGCCGAUGUCGGAUUAGCUAGUUGGCGGGGUAAAGGCCCACCAAGGCGACGAUCCGUAGCUGGUCUGAGAGGAUGAUCAGCCACACUGGAACUGAGACACGGUCCAGACUCCUACGGGAGGCAGCAGUGGGGAAUAUUGGACAAUGGGCGCAAGCCUGAUCCAGCCAUACCGCGUGGGUGAAGAAGGCCUUCGGGUUGUAAAGCCCUUUUGUUGGGAAAGAAAAGCAGCAGGUUAAUACCCCGCUGUUCUGACGGUACCCAAAGAAUAAGCACCGGCUAACUUCGUG
rnacentral:rRNA from 1 species